UAUGUGCUUUAGGUUCCUUGGAAGAGGACGCCAUAGAGGGUGAGAGUCCCGUUUAGGCACGUGUUGGCAGCGUCCGGGUAUUGUUCUACGAGUCGAGUUGCUUGGGACUGCAGCUCCAAGUUGGUGGUAAAUUCCAUCAAAGGCUAAAUAGCGGCGAGAGACCGAUAGCGAACAAGUAGCGUGAGCGAAAGAUGACAAGAACUUUGAAAAGAGAGUGAAAGAGUACCUGAAAUCGUUGAAAGGGAAGGGUUUGCGUCCAGUGUUGGUUUUGCGUGUGGUUGU
rnacentral:rRNA from 1 species